GGAAUCUUCGGCAAUGGACGAAAGUCUGACCGAGCAACGCCGCGUGAGUGAAGAAGGUUUUCGGAUCGUAAAACUCUGUUGGUAGAGAAGAACGUUGGUGAGAGUGGAAAGCUCAUCAAGUGACGGUAACUACCCAGAAAGGGACGGCUAACUACGUGCCA
rnacentral:rRNA from 1 species